GGAAAGCUCAUCUGAACGUUCGUUUUUAGGGGAAGCUCUCGAAAUUGCUUUCGUCUCCCUUUCUUUCUUUCUUUGGAUCGAGAACGAAAGAAACCUUUGUGGUUGAUGAUGAUCGCCGCAGAGAAGGAAGGAAUCGCCGAAGACGCCGGAGACCCGGCGGCGGCAGAUCCCCCGGCCGCCUCGCCUUCUCCUCCGCUGCUCUCCCAAAACCGACGUCUCCAUAAUUUCUCGUUCCCGACUCUCAGCUGGCGUGGCCAGCGCUUCCUCCGCUGCUCCAAAGUUUCCGGCGUCGCCACAACCGAGCCCGCUAGAUCGGCCGAUCAGGACCACCGGACCUCCCAGAUGAAAUCUUCCCCGCAGAGGCCGUUGCCGGUCGCCCGGGAUCCGAAGGAGGAGGCGAGAAGAGGGAGGGAAGGAAAGGAGGCGGACAAGGCAUCCUCUUGUGCGGCUACUGUGGCAGAGGCCACAAGACCCUGGAACUUGAGGACGAGAAGGGCCGCUUGUAAUUUCCCAGCUGACCGGUACGGUAAUCAUGGUUCUAUUUAUGGGGCUACGGCGAUGGAGACGAUUGAUCCUCCGAUGAAGACGGUGAGGCUGCAAUCGGAUGAGUCGAAGAAGGGUAGGAUGGAGAAGUUCUCGAUCUCUCUGUCUCGUUCGGAGAUUGAGGAGGACUUUUUCGCUAUCAAAGGGACGAAGCCCUCUCGGCGACCAAAGAAAAGGGCUAAGAUUGUUCAGCGAGAACUAGACUCACUUUUCCCUGGUUUGUCGUUGUCAGAAAUAACCCCCGACUCGUACGAAGUUGUUGAAUAAGAGCUUGAAGAACCAGAUGAAGAGAGGCGCCUUUCCGGGAAAACCCUUAAGGUUUUCAAUUGCUGCCUAAUCCUGGAUUGACAACUUGCUGCUGCAGCAUUUCGAAACCAGUGAAUGGACCAAAGUUUUGUGGAAUAAGAAGAAGAAAAGAGCUAAAGAAUACUUGUAUAAAUAUUCACAAUGGUCAUAGCAGGAAAUAUGCUGUAAGCAUGAAAACUCAUCUUGAAUACUGAUGGGAAAUACUGUGUUUUUAUUUUUUUCACACAUGAUAAGCGGUGAGUAUAGGAUUCCAUCCCAUGACUUUUUUUUUUUUAACCAAUAGUCAAGGAUUAUUAUUAUUAACCUCCAUCUUAACAUAGAAUUUGGAAGAUGCUUCCAACAGGGAUCAUAGUGCAAAGUGAUGGAGAUUUAUUUUUAAGUGUCAUUGCAUGCAUACCAU